CAUCCUCUGGCCCAAGCUGCUGCCGUUAACUUGCCGUUAUCCAUAAAGCUAGAGCGAGGGGUUCAAAAUGUGGAGUCCAGUGGGCAGUGCAUGUACUCUGGCUUGGUCCACCAUUUCUAAAAGCUAAAGUCUAUAGGUCCAACCUCCAUUUCCUAUAUUUUACAUUUAGAGUGUAUUACCAGUCAACAUCACUCACGUUACUGACUGUCCAUAGUAGCUGAACCAACUCCAGGCAGUCAGAAUAGGAAACUGGUCUCAAUAUCUCUGACAGUCCAAGCUGUGUGAGACCAUCAAUAACAUCCAUAUCUCUUGGCAAACAUCUGUCUGACCCACACCACUGAAAGUAUGGCACAUUUCAAAGUUUCUUCUGUGCUACAGAGAACAAACAGAGCAUUUAGCGCUUUUGAAUGUCAGGCAGAUAAAUGCAGCCCAGCAACAUCAGCAUUCAUUUUACGUUCCCCUGUUCCUUUGAAACGCAGCAGAUGUCUGUGUUUCUGUAUUUGCACGUUGUCAGACUUGCUUAGUAGUAAUGGCAGAAUUUUAAAGGAGGAAAAUAAAUUGAAACAUCUGCUGGGCUCGCUUUAAUCUGCACCAUAUCUGUCAACAUUAAUCUGCUCGAAACUAUGUUUUAAGAUCAUUAUACAGAGGCAUGAAAGAUGGCAAGCUUAAAAUAUGGUUUUGCUGGGGGUAUAGGAGUAAUUAGAUGGGAUCCACUUUGUGAUAUAUGUCUGGUCUCUUAGGAGACUUUGUUUUCGUGACUUUUUGAACACUAAGUAAUAAAUCAGAUUUUAUUUGAAUCUGUCCCUUUUUUUUUUUUUUUUUUUUUUACAAAUAAUUAUGAGUGUACCAUUGCCAUCAAAGACAAAUGUAGACAGUAGUCUUCUCUGUCUUCAAAUAAGGUGCUCAUGUGCACUCACAUCUGCCGACCGUCUCACCAACCUUCAGUCUGACAGUCACACCUGCUGUGCUCUGGGACCACUUGGCUGUUUUAGCAAUGAUUGCCAUCAUAGGAACCAAAGAUAAUUACACAGCUUCCACCCACCAGGCUGGCCUGCUUUGCUAAAACCGUAUUGCUCCAGUGCAGCAAUAACACUUGUCUAAAUGAAUGCGCAGCACUUUACUGCACGACUGACAGCGUCCAUUUAUACUGCCGUCCAACUGGAAAGAAAAAACAAAUUAAUUUGGCACUUAAGGCCCCCCGCACGCCCGCCCAUGUGAAUAAUGUCUCACCACUCCCUUAAAUCAGUCCCCAACCCCCCAUAUCCCACCAUCAUUCAACUCUUUUGUAAUGAUUCCUCGUUUUAGGCAAAACAAGUGAAAGAUUCUUAUGUCACAGCCUUUUACAUGUAUACGCAAAGAUAUGGCAAUUGAUCAGAGUUCAUUUUCAUUAGCAUUACACUUAUUGUGGAAGUGUACCUGUUUUAAAA
ensembl:lncRNA